GACUCGGUAGCUUAGUUGGUAAAGCACUUCUACUAACGAAUAAGGGUCGUGAGUUCAAAUCUCACCUGAGCUG
rnacentral:tRNA from 1 species